rnacentral:rRNA from 1 species
UACGGAGGGAGCUAGCGUUGUUCGGAAUUACUGGGCGUAAAGCGCGCGUAGGCGGCUUUGUAAGUUAGAGGUGAAAGCCCGGGGCUCAACCCCGGAACUGCCUUUAAGACUGCAUCGCUUGAAUCCGGGAGAGGUGAGUGGAAUUCCGAGUGUAGAGGUGAAAUUCGUAGAUAUUGGGAAGAACACCGAUGGCGAAGGCAGCCAUCUGGACCGACACUGACGCUGAGGCGCGAAAGCGUGGGGAGCAAACAGG